AGUGAACGCUGGCGGUAGGCCUAACACAUGCAAGUCGAACGGCAGCACAGUAAGAGCUUGCUCUUACGGGUGGCGAGUGGCGGACGGGUGAGGAAUACAUCGGAAUCUACUUUUUCGUGGGGGAUAACGUAGGGAAACUUACGCUAAUACCGCAUACGACCUACGGGUGAAAGCAGGGGAUCUUCGGACCUUGCGCGAUUGAAUGAGCCGAUGUCGGAUUAGCUAGUUGGCGGGGUAAAGGCCCACAAGGCGACGAUCCGUAGCUGGUCUGAGAGGAUGAUCAGCCACACUGGAACUGAGACACGGUCCAGACUCCUACGGGAGGCAGCAGUGGGGAAUAUUGGACAAUGGGCGCAAGCCUGAUCCAGCCAUACCGCGUGGGUGAAGAAGGCCUUCGGGUUGUAAAGCCCUUUUGUUGGGAAAGAAAAGCAGCAGGUUAAUACCCCGCUGUUCUGACGGUACCCAAAGAAUAAGCACCGGCUAACUUCGUG
rnacentral:rRNA from 1 species